GCUAACGUAGCUUAAUACAAAGCAUAGCAUUGAAGAUGCUAAAAUGAGUCUUAAACAACUCCGUAUGCA
rnacentral:tRNA from 1 species